rnacentral:lncRNA from 1 species
GUUUCGAUUCAUCUGAAAAUUUCAGAGUAGAUAGAUCUUCACUUAAUAAACAAUUUUACCCCAUGCCAGAUUGGCUCUAAAUGCUUUGGUUUCAGAGUUAUAAGCCAAAAUAUACAUUUUACCCAUAUGUUCUAUUUUUAGCCAUGGCGGCCAUCUUGGUUGGUUUGCCAGGUCACCGGACACAUUUUUUAAACUAGAUUCCCCAAUGAUGAUUGUGGCCAAGUUUGGUAAAAUUUGGCCCAGUAGUUUCAGAGGAGAAGAUUUUUGUAAAAGUUGACGACAGACGACGAUGGACGACAGACGCCAAGUGAUGAGAAAAGCUCACUUGGACCUUUGGGCCAGGUGAGCUAAAAAGGGUCUGUUAAAUUAUAAUUCUAAUAUCUCUUUCAAAAUCAACAUUAUAUUACAAUUAAAUAACCUGUUUUGUCUUUACACCGGUUUUCUCUUGAGCUUGGAUAGUCUUCAUUGUCAGUCUCAACCAAUACACUCAAUAAAUAAUUUGUACUAAUACAUACAUAAAUAUAUUUAUAAUUAUUUUGAGGACUACUUGAUUUGGAAUGAUAUACAAAUUAUGCAACUUUUACAAACAUAAAUAAACAAAAUUAAUAAGAAACAUUCCAUAAAAUUAAACAAAAUAAC